UCCAUCUCAUAGAAACCAAUACCAAUUAUCGAUAGUGAUUUGUUUGUUUGUGUAAAAGUGAAGAUAUCAUUUUAAUUCAAAUCUAUUGUAGUUCAUUUUUUACUUUUGAGUGUGCAGGUAGUUUCUUUUGGUCUUCACUUCAAUUUUCUAGAAUUCUAGGAAGUGAUACAAUGUAUUUUUAGCAUUUAUACUCAUUUCAAAUAGUGUUUUUUAGAAUUCUAAGAAUCAAACUGCUAGCACAUCAACCAAACCCACACUGAUGUAAAAUAGCCAGAAAGCUCCGAAUAUCUUCACCCUUCAACUCAAUGCAAAAUCAGCUUUUAGUAUCCAGUAUGAUAUUC
rnacentral:lncRNA from 1 species